UACGGAGGGUGCAAGCGUUAUCCGGAUUCACUGGGUUUAAAGGGUGCGUAGGUGGGUCUGUAAGUCAGUGGUGAAAUCUCCGAGCUUAACUCGGAAACUGCCAUUGAUACUAUAGGUCUUGAAUAUUGUGGAGGUAAGCGGAAUAUGUCAUGUAGCGGUGAAAUGCUUAGAUAUGACAUAGAACACCAAUUGCGAAGGCAGCUUACUACACAGUUAUUGACACUGAGGCACGAAAGCGUGGGGAUCAAACAGG
rnacentral:rRNA from 1 species